AGCCGUUCGGUAAGCACAAAGCGAACUAUUCUUUCGCCUUUUACUAAAGAUUACCGUGUGCUUGCCGUUUCUAAGCGGCAUACGCCCAUUUUUGGAGGGUCUCUCUUCUUCGGGAGGA